CACGUAGGGUGCGAGCGUUGUCCGGAAUUAUUGGGCGUAAAGAGCUCGUAGGCGGUGUGUCGCGUCGGCCGUGAAAACCUGCAGCUUAACUGUGGGCUUGCGGUCGAUACGGGCAUCACUGGAGUUCGGCAGGGGAGACUGGAAUUCCUGGUGUAGCGGUGAAAUGCGCAGAUAUCAGGAGGAACACCGGUGGCGAAGGCGGGUC
rnacentral:rRNA from 1 species